rnacentral:rRNA from 1 species
AUACAUGCAGUCGAGCGGAUUGAUGGGAGCUUGCUCCCUGAUAUCAGCGGCGGACGGGUGAGUAACACGUGGGUAACCUGCCUGUAAGACUGGGAUAACUCCGGGAAACCGGGGCUAAUACCGGAUAACUCAUUUCCUCGCAUGAGGAAAUGUUGAAAGGUGGCUUUUACCUACCACUUACAAAUGGACCCGCGGCGCAUUACCUAGUUGGUGAGGUAACGGCUCACCAAGGCAACAAUGCGUACCCAACCUGAAAGGGUGAUCGGCCACACUGGGACUGAAACACGGCCCAAACUCCUACGGGAGGCAGCAGUAGGGAAUCUUCCGCAAUGGACAAAAGUCUGACGGACCAACCCCCCGUGAGUGAUGAAGGUUUUCGGAUCGUAAAGCUCUGUUGUUAGGGAAAAACAAGUGCCGUUCGAAUAGGGCGGCACCUUGACGGUACCUAACCAAAAAGCCACGGCUAACUACGUGCCACCAGCCGCGGUAAUACGUAGGUGGCAAGCGUUGUCCGGAAUUAUUGGGCGUAAAGCGCGCGCAGGUGGUUCCUUAAGUCUGAUGUGAAAGCCCACGGCUCAACCGUGGAGGGUCAUUGAAAACUGGGGAACUUGAGUGCAAAAGAGGAAAGUGAAAUUCCAAGUGUAGCGGUGAAAUGCGUAGAUAUUUGGAGGACCACCAGUGGCGAAGGCAACUUUCUGGUCUGUAACUGACACUGAGGCGCAAAAGCGUGGGGGAGCAAACAGGAUUAGAUACCCUGUUAGUCCCACGCCGUAAAACGAUGAUUGCUAAGUGGUUAAGGGGGUUUCCCGCCCCCUUA